UUUGGUUUCAAAUCUAUUUUAUUUGAUUGAAUGAUAAAGGAACAAAAUUCUCUCCAUACUACUGGGAUUGCCUGCUUUUCAGUCCCGAUAAGGAGCCCGGUGCAGCAUGGGAUUCAAUAAUUUGAGUUGCUUAACCAAAGCAGCUCAUCCCAGCUGGGCUGUAUGACCCAGCCUUGCACACUUUGUUAAAAAGGAUUGCAGGAUGGACUUAAUUUUUAAGUUAUCUUCAUUUGGUGAGUAAUGUUUUUUUCAAUAACCAUAAUAAUAAUUAUAAUAAUAGGCCCUGCUUCAUACAUACAUUUAUUUCUUACGGUAAUGGUGCCACAACUGUGCAUCAAAUUAGAUAGACCAUGAAUAUUAUUGGUUUGUUGAAGUAGCAAAAAAUUAGAUAUUCUAAAUAUUCAGUAUACAUGUACUUCUUAUUAACAUUUUAAAUUUGACAGAAUAAAAGCAUGUUGUGCUUAGAGCAUAAGCUGUACCGAUCAGGAUGAAUUAAUGUGUGUGUGCAUUUCCCGAGGGGCUGAAUUUGAUGUUUGAAGUCCAGCAGAGGACCUUACUGUGGAAAGCAGGUUUCAAAGGAAAGUCGAAGCCCAACCUGUCGAAGCAGGACACAGCAGUCUGACGUGUGGCCUUGCGAAUCCUGUUUUGUCAAGCCUCAUGUGUCCAGAUGCUACCCUCUGCGUGUGAGAUCAUGCAGUUCGACCUAAUCCCUGAGCGCCGGGCUGUUAAAAGAAAGUUUUAUCUGCACAUGGUGGAGUAGGAGGCUGGGGAGGAGGCCCAGUGAUGCUGCACCACAAACAGCCUGGAACACAGAACUCUACUGAGGCCUCCACCUCAGAUCUGUGCCACUGUGCUCCGACUCUGUGUCACCUCAGGGCCCUCCACGUGGUUUAUGGCAGACACUUGACUGGUGUCAAUCAGCUAUCUGCUACCACCCAUUCGCACCCUUAACCUUGUCACCACACACACAAAGUACUUGAUUUCAGAAUAAAACAGUAAUGUCUUGUACAAGCUGCAGCGAUACCUCCACUGGAUAAGACUUUUGAUAAACAACCCUUAUUGCUGAUGUGUUCAGAUGGAAUAUAUUUCAAGGGAAUAGAUGAAUAUUCUAGACAUUUUACUUUCAUUCCAGCUAAACAUACAGUACCAGUCAAAAGUUUGGACACAC